ACAAUACCAGGGCUCCAGCGACUGGAGAUCAAUGAGCCACACGCACGAAAUCAAAGUCCCCACCACCCACUUUUUCUCCUCCUUGGACUAGGAGUGGAGGUAUUCAGACUCGGGGAUGCAGCGUCUGGGGCAACUUGGGGCACCACGGCCAUCCCGUGCACCUCAGAGCAAAGCGACCCCUCUUCUCCCCCUCCCCCACCUAGACAGCACACUCAGCAAAGUUUCAGGUCCCCGGUGGUGCUCCCUAAUCCUAGGGGGGCGGGGGUUCUAAGCUCAGGCUCUCAGAUCCGCGGAGUCGGGGAGGGAAGUUUGUCCGGCCGCGGAGCUCGCCGAUCGAGAACUUCGGGUGCACCCGCCUAGUGAACGCCAGGGUAUUCGUGUAUGGAGCCCGUCUCUCACCGCCCGGGAAGGAGUUUUGAGCUUCUGGCUGACAGGCAGGACCACCCGCCAUCUCAUGCACCAUCUUUGAGUAGAGUCCAAGCUCCUGUCUUGCCUUCUGGCCAAUGCACCACGGAGUGAAGACAAGCCUUUCCCACCAAACCCUGUUCAUGUUAUAGAUCCAUGAGGGACAUAAGGCAACAUCCAAAGCCAUUCACCAUUAUAUCCCAGCAAUCAAUAUGUAACAGGUAUGACCCAGAUGCAUGUGGCAGCCAGACUUGGUCUUUUGGGAAAGUGUUACAGAUCACUUGUUCAUCUAUAUUUAUUUAUAUAUUUAUUUUAUGCAUAUCUGUGUGUGUGCAUGCACACAUGCGUACACGUGCAUACUGGGGUGAGUACAUGCAUGACUGUACACCGGCAUGUGGAGGACAGAUGUCAGCCUUGAGUGUUGUUCCUCGGGAGCCAACCACCUUGUUUUAGGAGACAAGGUCUCUCCCUGGCCUAGGACUUGGCGAUUUUGCUAGAUGAGCUGGCCGGUGACCUGCCUGUCUCUGCCUCCCCAGUGCUGGCAUUACAAACAUACGUCACCCUGUCGACUUUUUAUACGUGAGGCUUUGGAUUAAACUCAAGCCCUUGUGCUCGCAUGGCAAGCCCUUUACUGACCUAAGCUGAGCCACCUCCCAGGCCCUGGUGUAACCGUUUAUUUUGUUAAGCAAUUUUUAAUGUUCUUAUUCUAUUUCUUUAUUAUGUAUGUAUGUGUGCACAUGAGUGUGCCACACUGUGUGUAUGGAGGUCAGAGGACAGCUUGAGGGGGUCACUUCUCUCCUUCCACCGUGUGGAUCAAACUCAGGCCAGCAGCUGGUAUUUCUGUGUUCCGACAUCUGGGACUCAUUAAUGAUCUUCUGAGUUCCUAACAGCUUGGGCAGGCCUACGUACCAGCUUACCAGCCAUCUGCAACACACACAUAGGCUCAGGUAGUCUCCACUCUACACCAACUGCUGUCCUUGAUGGUUGUCCCACACUCCUGGCAUCUCCAAAUGCUGGAGUCUCCACUGCACUUGAGGCUGAACCCAUGGCCUCUCCUCAGGGAGACUCUGGCCCUGCUACCCAGCGACAAGCCUCAGUUUCCCUCCAUGACCUCUUUGUGUAUUCCAAAUCAGCACCCUGUAAGAAAUUCUUACACACUAUCUGUCAAGUCUUCUUGCCAGCUUGCUGUGCGGCCUGGGGCUGGUCUCUCAUUGGACCGCAGCUUCUAUGUGCUGACUCUAAGGAAAUACUUCCCAGAAGAUUUUGCAUCAGUGAUGCUGGGUUGUUUUUUUUUUUUCCUUUCUUAAUCACAGUUGGUUUUUCAGCCCUAGCUAACCAGCAUUGAUUUUCCCAGUAAAGCAAAUGUUUCACUUCAGUGGUGCUGGUCUCUUGUUAAUUACAGCUGAUUCUUCAGGCUUAGCUGAUCAGAACCCUGGGUUCUUAAUUCAAAACAUCACACAAAUAGCCUUGUUAGUGUCUUUGAGCGACUCUCAGACUUCCCUCUGAAACGUCACAAGCCAGGUCUCCAUUAUCUGUACUGCUCUCAGCGUUAUCUUCCAAGUUCUCACAAGAGCUCAGUAAGCUCUGAGUACUCAAAACUUUGCCAGCACAGAGCUCCACAGUCCUCAUUUGCUUCACACAAAAGGGUCCAAGUCAUAAAAGCCACAAGGCUAGCUCCAGCACAGCCAUACCCCACUUCUGGUACCAAUUUCUGUCUGGUUCCAAUUUUGUUUGCUUCUUUGUUGCUGUGAUAAAACACUGAGCAAAAGCAACGUGGACAGGAUGAGGCUUUAGUUUACUGUCCACCACCGAGGGACAUCAAAGGCAGGAAUCCAAGCAGGAACUCGAAGGCAGAACAGAAGCAGGAAACAGAGGAAUGCUGCUUACUGACCUGCUUCCCCCGGCUAGCUCAGCUACCCUUUUUAUGUAGCCCAGGCCCACUUGACCAGGGAUACCACCACCUACACUUGGCUGAAUCUUUCUAUCAAGAAAAUGCUGACACAGACGAGCCCACUGGCCAAGCUAAUGAAGGCAAUUCCUCGGUUGAGAUUCCUUCUUCCCAGGUAUGACUAGAUCGAUUGGAAGUUGAUAAUAAAUAAAUAAAUAAAUAAAUAAAUAAAUAAAUAAAUAAAUAAUUAAUUUUAAAAAAACAGCAUAAGGGGGAAAAGAAGGGGUGAUUGUCUUCAUUUGGUUUUCUGAGACAGGCCUCAUUAUGUAGUCCCGGCUGGCCUGGAACUCACAAUGUAGUCCAGGCUAACCUCCAACUCACUGAGAUCCACCUUCCUUUGUCUCUUAGUGCUGGGAUUAAAGGCAUGCUUAACUAUGCCUGGCAAGGGAUGCAGUUUUGGAACAGUUCACAGGGGAGAGCUCAGCUUCUGUAGGAGACUCCCUGAGUCCAGCCAUACCCGAGUCGCAGCUGCUUCCAGCUGGCUGAGGUUCUGGAUGGAUGCUCAUACCAUUCCACUUCUCCUGUGCCUGUCUUUUCCCGUUGUCUGCACCUCCAGAAGCUGUGGGGCCCAUAAGAAGCCCGCUCCUCCGUCAGUGCUCUGCCACCGUGUCUCUGAAGCCAGAUUCACUCUGGCAUCCUGAGGCUCCUUUUGCUGACCUUGAGGCCAGUCCCAGUGAGACCACAGCCCCAGAACUAUACCCCCAACAUCUUGCUAGAACCAGGAUGGACGGCUCCUCUCCUUGGGUACCAUGCUGGGGUGGCCAGGGCUAUUCUAAAGAAUGGGUCAGGGUUAGGGAGGCUGCUCAGUGAGUAAGAGUACUUGCUGUAUAAGCAUGAGUUCCUGAAGUUCAGAUCCCAGCAACCACAGAAAACACUGGAUGUGGCCAUGCACGCACCUGCAACCCCAGUGCUGUAGGAGGCAGAGGCAAGAGGAUCACUUGGGCAUGCUGGCCAUCAGUCUAGGUCUAGAUUCAAUGAGAUUCUAUAUCAAAAGAAUAAUAUGAAUAGUGAUAUAGAAGGACACCUGAUGUCCUUCUCUAGCCUACAUCCAUUACAGUCACAUUCAGCUGUACACAGAUGCCUCUCUCUGUGUCUCUGUCUGUCUCUGUCUCUGUCUCUCUGUCUGUUUGUCUCUCUCUCUCUCUCUCUCUCACAUACACACACACACACACACACACACACACACACAGAGAGAGAGAGAGAGAGAGACAGAGAGAGAGAGAGAGAGAGAGAGAGAGAGAGAGAGAGAGAGAGAGAGAGAGAGAAUAGACCAGACACAUGUUGUCUUUACUGAUAUCACCAACCACCUCAGGAUUUCUCAGCCUCCCCUCUUGCUUCCUCAACGGUCCCCUCUCAAGCAGCACAAAGGCCCCCCACAGCCUCUUCCCACGCCACAGCUUGUGCCAAUGAAAUCUGUGUUCUUGCCUAAAAUCCUUUUCCUCCUUGAAAAGCCCUGCUCUUGCAAAGAAAGCCUCCAAGCUUUCAGAACAUUGCCUCUGCUGUGAGCUUUUCAACAUUCUCCUGGAGAGUCCAUUGAUUUAUUUGUUCUUAGCUCUGUCCGCAGUCCCCCUGAGGCAGCUGGGGCCCUUGACUCAACAGGCAGAGGAGGCCAUGGAGUCAGGAGA